UAAUCAUAUUUGUUUUAAGAGAAAUUAGGGUGUAUAUACACCGUUUCGACCAUAAUUUGCGAAGUACCCGAUCACUAUUACAUGCACUGUACAUUUGAAUUUAAUACCAUAUUAACCCUAUGACAUUACACACCUAUAUACUGCUAUCCUACCCGCCUACAUAAUCCUAGGUCCUAUUUUAUGUCAGAUCAGAGCCACACUAACACGUUUAGCAAUAUAUAUUAUAAUUAAUAAUCACUCAUUUUUACACCCAGAAAGAAGAGGGAGAUGAGAAAUCAAGAAGACGCCAUUUUCAGAUCUAACUAGGAAAGAAGAGACACCACUAUUCGCAAUCCAGUAUUCCAACUUCUCAUAAUCUGUAAGUAAAAUCAUAAUAUUCUCUAAUUUUUGCAUUUCGAUUUGAUCGAUCUUGUUGGUGUCUGCUACAAAUAAAAAAGAUGAAAUCUCUCUGUCCCAAGCUAGUGUUGCCUUGCCUAGAUAUCUUGAUGCUAUUCAACUCGUCCUUAUGGCCUCUGUCCCUUUGAUUAAAGAAGUUGUUCAGCCUCCUGAACCUGUGAUUUUGGUCGAGUCUGAUAGCUGAGUCCGAGUGCGCGUCACAUGAUGUUGAAACUACUCAAAAAGAUUAUGCAUCAACCUAGCUCACACUAAGUUAAUAGACAAAGAGUGCAAGAUUCAUGUACUGGAGAGUGCAUAUAUCAACCAUAACGUGUGGCUGAGAGAAACCCACAAAAAGGCGUACGAUCAAACAGUUACCUAUAUACCAUAGGAGCUAUCUCACAAAAUCUGCAAGUGUCAACGUGGCUUAAUCACAGGGGCAUAUUCGUCAGACCAAGUAAAUUAGUGCAUAGUGAUUUUAGUUUCUGAUCGUUUAGGGUACUUUGCUAAUUUCGAUCACUUUUGGGUAUAUCCAACCAAUUGUCUCUUGUUUUAAGGCCCCGUUCUUUCCAAGUUAUUCCUUUAUCUGUCCUUAUUUAACAAUAGCUGUGAUAAUGACACCCACACAAACUAAAUUGGCUUUCCCAACAGUUCAUGACAACUUCAAUCAA